UUGGAGAUCAAACAAGCCCAACAAUACCUUUGAAGGUUUUCCCCACUUGAAGCAAAAAUCCAAAAAUCACAAAAGGUAAAACUUGACAAAAAUGGAAAAGUUUUAUUUCCUGGCAACAUUUUAAUAAAUAAAACAAAGUCAAAAUUUUGGGUGUUACAACACUACCCCCCUUAAGAAAAAUCUCGUCCUCGAGAUUUGUUAAAAGUUGUCUUGAACAAGAAUUGUUUUGAAAUAAAUUUGUUUUUAUCAAAGAAAUCCUCCAAUUGCAUAAAAACAAACGGCUACAGUGAGAGGGCAAUAAGUGGUGCAAAACCACAGUGUGGUACACUGGUGUAGUGUGGAAAAAUCCACGGUUAGGGAAAACGAGACAUUUCUACGAGGAUACAGUAAUUUAGAAUAAAUUCUAAAUUACUAAAAUACGCUGGUCGCACCCGAUAGCACAGUGCUCUCUCUGGCUGACAGGUGGGCCCAGGGCCCACUGUCGGCCUCUUCUCCUACCUCUGGCUCUCUCUCUCUCUCGCGUUCUCCCACGCUUCUUCCACCGGCGGCGCCUAGCUCGUAGAGCAUCGAGGCCGUACCGCGGUAGUGCGCGGCGUGCUAGCUACUGGUGCAGCGUGCACUCACCUCGCGGGCCAGGGCGCUGUCGGCACUGCUCGCGGACUCGCCUCCGAACACCGGCGGCCGAGCGACGGGUGGCGCUGGUGGACCUCGCCCACCGUACACCGAUCUCGGGCUAUAAAACGCUCGCGGUGCUCCUCUCUUCUCCCUCACACCCGGCCUCGCUUCCACUUCUCCAUCCUUCUCCUCCAUAGCUGCUGGCAGGAGCUCGAGCCGAGGCUCUAAUGGCGGAGGCAAUGCCGGACUGGUAUGUGGUCCUGGUGUGUGGAGGCUUGGCGGUGCUGCUGGGGUUCUCCGUGCUGCUGUGUGCGAUGAUCCUGGAUGAUCGUCAUGAUGCUGCCGCACGAGUGUUAGCUCUUCGCGGUGGCGGCGAUCACGUGGAUUAGGCGCGGCACCGGGGCUGACUGCCGUCGGGGUGCCGGGGCAGCUCGCGCUCGAAUGGACACACAGAAAUCCCUCUUACGGAGACUGUGGUGUCCUCGAGUGCGGUUAGAUAGGUGCAAAAAUGUGCUCAGAGAUUUGUAACAGUGCUCAAGGUCGAGUGGUUGCUGCAUGAGAGUUUGCUGUAACGAUGCUGCGCGAAUAAAGAUCUAUGUCGUGAAAAUGCAUAUAUACGCAGCAAUAACUCGGGGAAAAGAAAUCUCCUCGAAAACAUGUUGUGAGAGGAAAAAUUAAUUUAAACAAAACUAACGGCAGUAAAACUGCUCACAAAACAGGAACUAAAGAAAAAUUCGGAUCCGUUGCACAAAGGUUUUACGAACAUGCUGCAACCCAUAAACACAAGUACUGAACGAUAAAUACGCCGGAGGCGUUUACAUGGAAAACGGUAAAAAGACAGGGUCCUGAGAAAAUGCCUCUGGCACUGGGGCACACUCCUCUUCUAUCGGGGGAAGCGGGUUGACCAGCCGAUGAAUGCGCCCUUCUUGGUCAGGCCUCAGUGGUCUGCCAAUAGCGAUCCGAGGAUUUAAAUCAGCGAGGCUCUGGAGAUAACCCAUUACUCGCUGAGUUAAACGCUCCUGAGCGAUGACGUACUGGGCAAGGUUGGCCAGUACUGGAUCUCUCUCAAUGCACCCACCGGGAAAAGAUGCAACUUCUCCGGGUGCUGCCCGACUCGGAAAAUAAUAGUAUCCUCGCUCGCUGGCAUAGGGUACCGCGAAUCGAAGGCGGGUGAGUGCCUCGUACGCAGCAGCUUCUAUGGCCAUAUGCGGAGUCGGCAUGGAUUUCCCCACGAAGGAGACUUCCGUGGGAUCUUGGUUUGGGUAGGCGGGAGGGAUGUGCACCACUGCCCAAUAUUUCGAGGUGGAUUGAGUGAUCCUCGAUUUGAGCAACUCGUACUGGGGUGGACGGCUGGCGCUCAUAGUACUGCAGGUAAAGUCCCACAAUAAUUUGACAAAACUGCCGGGGGUUGCGUCUGGGGUCCUCAGAUAAAUGCUGGGGGUCGACAUGGCAAGGAAUGGCUGUGAGCGCUGCGCACAAAGGUGAGGGGUGCUCGGCAAGGUCACGAAGUGGCCUUUAUAUAGCACCGGGGCUGGGAUAUCUACCAGGGUGAAAGGUAACUGGCUGACGAUCCUGUACUCGGGUCAAAGCCACAGAUAUACACAUCACAUAAAUGGGACGCAUUACUGUGGGUGCCGACGGGGUUGGUCUAGGUAGCUGCGCCCGAAAAAAAUGCAACUAUACGCCAACGUACACAUGCAUAGCUACUACUCCAAAAAUAAGAGCGCUCAAACAGACAGCAUGCAACAAAAGCGAUACAAGGCCACACAUUACAAAGCGUAGGAAAACUAAGGCUCGAUACAACUUUGAGCGACUUAGUCUACUUUGUUAAUGUCUAAGUGGGCUGGCCUUGCGGACGCCGAUGCUUCUCCACGGUUCUCACCGUCGGGAUUUGCUGGUUGAGGCUGAGGUGCUGCAGGGUCGGGGAAAUGGUGAUGGCCAUUCCGGGGGUUGUUGGCCCAAACCCCGUUGGAAUGGGUUUCCAAAAGGCGACGAAGCGCUUCUGGGGUCACCAAAGUGCUCUGGUUGAUGGUUGGCGCAGACCUCAAGGGAUCGAUCGGGUGUCCGAACAGCACGACUGGGUUGUCGGUGUCGGGCUCCGCUUCUCUUCUCGCCGGGGCUCGGCGAACCAGCUCUCCACGAGCUGCGAUCAGAUCGAGAGUGACCUAAUCGAACAGUUGCUCUAGUGCGCUUACAUAGCGCACCAGAUGCAACAGCGCAGGAUCUGUCUCGUGGUCUCCGUUGGCAACCUGGGGCGGCCUACCAUACCCGUCACGACUGGGGUAGUAGUAGAACGAGCGACAGUUAACUCUGGGCGACAGGUGCCGGAGUUGAACUAUAGCUUCGCGGGCUGCUAGUUGGAUGGCUUGUGGCUCAAAGGAAGUUGUCCUUCCAGUGAACCUAUAGGGGCGCUCUGGCGACAGACCCCUACCGUAGAUGUGCACAGUGGCCUAGUACUGACGGCUUUCACCGUACAUGGGUCCUUGGUACACAACAUACUCAGGAGGCUCCUCUAACGCAUAGGCACGGCGGGUGAGGUUUGCGAGCACGGUCACAAAACCUCAAAGGUUGGUCGCUGUGGUCUCAUUGUGAACAAUGGGGCCAGGCAUCGUGGCUCGGUUUGGGGGAAAGAGGCUGUGUUGUGAUUGAGGCUAGCGUGCCCUUUUUAUAGGGAAAGGGGACGGACUCUUCCUCCGCACGCUUGCGAUAGAGAUGGGUUGGGUGUCGGUCACAGGCGCGUGAUCGAUGGGCUAGGCUGAUAGGUUGGGCACCGUCCGCCGAAAAGGGCGUCGGGUCACUGUGGGGCUACCUUACGCGGGAAGCUUGACCGGGGUUAAGCUAAGGUCUGAUGGUUUGGGUUAACCUAGGUUUAUUGACCUGGCUAAGAUAGGAUUAGCCAAUGGUCAGCCUGGCUCUGAUACCAAGUCUGUCGCGACCGGAUUUUUGGGAUAUAAAUUCCCAGAAAAAUGGCCUGUGCGCUCAUCAGCCCCAGGAUUACUGUUAGCUGAUGAGGUACCGACUUGAUACAAGAAUUCCAAGCAAGUACAAAAUAAUGUAGUACAAGACCAUUUAGGCCUAGGAGUACAACAUUUGGUUUCUAAUGGUUGAGGGCGGAAGCGGUUGGAUACAUCUGCGUCUAUGGAACUCCAUUUCCCACAAGAACAGCUGACCAGGAUAACUCCUAUCUUCGCGAGGCUGCAAACGUCAACGCGUAGGUUCCAAGGUUGACACCGCGAUGCUUAUCUCCAAGCAAGGAAUCUGGCCAAGACAAUAGCCAGGGACAAGCCAGUGAGUACGUUUGAAUGUACUCGCAAACAUAAAGAACACGGGUAUAAUAAAUCAAAAACAUGCUCUGGAUUAUUAUGUGAUCACAUGUCUGUCGCGAAAAAAUACGAAAGACCAAGAUGCACACAUAUGGUUAAAAAAAUAUACCAAAACAAAAUACUGGGUGCCAAACGAGUGUCUGAAUGACUCCUCGAGCGGAAAAUGCAGAAUAGUAAUACUGGUGCCAAACGAGUGUCUAAAAGACUCCUCGAGCGGAAAAUGCGGAAUAGUAAUACUGGUGCCAAACGAGUGUCUGAAAGACUCCUCGAGCGGAAAAUGCGGAAUAAUAAUACAGGUGCCAAACGAGUGUCUGAAUGACUCCUCGAACGGAAAAUGUAGAAAUAAUAAUGCCGCAGUCGGGCGUCGGGGCGACACCACAUAAAGGGCUUAUAAAAGAUAAAUGAACAACAAGCAUGCCGCAGUCGGGCGUCUGAGCGAUGCCACGGAAAGGGCUUAUAAGAGAAUAAUCACAGUGAAUAUCCAGGAGGUAGAACCCUCCCAGGGAUACUCAAUAAUAUACGUAGUAUAAAUGGUUAGUCCAAAAAUAAAUAAGGAUCAAAAUCCACAUGUGCCACAAUCAUAAACAACAUAUAGUACAGUCGUUUCUCCAUCCGAAAACCGAUAAUUUAGUCAAGCCGUAUCUCCAUCCGAAUACCGUUGCUAUGAUCUAGUUAUUCGUGUCUCCAUCCGAAUACCGUUACAGAGUUCUAGUCAAAUCGUUCUCCAUCCGAAUACUGUUACCAGAUUUCUAUUCAGAUAGUGGUUCUUACUCAAGGACAUGACUAUCCAACGGGAUAUAUCCUCUGCAGAGGGAGUACCAUUUUCCACGAGUAACGGGAUUACUCAGUCCCUUGGGACUAAUUCCGUCUACGGUCUUUUGAUUGAAAACACGCCUGACCUGCACACACCAGCUUAACUCACCAGUGUCUGGAAUCACCCACGACACCUGCCAAGCAAAACUCUAAGUGGGGAGGCUACAACCUCGACGUAGCAUGGGAUCCCAAAAUUUAUACCGCGCGCAAACUGGGGAAGCUAUCCCCUUAGGCUACAACCGAAACACCCAUGCCCCCGGACCGGAUGACUGGCUUUAAUCCAUGGCCAUGGGACCCUCAUCACGGCCUCUCUGUACGGUGGGUGCUUUGGAAAGGGGUUGACAACCUACUGAACCAUACCCUGUCCUCUGCAGGGACAAAUGGUGGUACCGACAAAGAAGGAAGCUAUUGAUCAAGACUCGGUCUACAACCGACUCAGGUGGUCCAAGUAUCCACCAACAAUAUUACCACUAGUGAAAUAAAUCACCACUCCUCGAGCCUCACCAUGCUAUGCCGGGCAUACUCGUCUCGACGAGGGAUUAGGGACAAGCUCGUGUCUACCCAAGACCACGACUUUCCCGGCUUCCUACCGGCGUGCAAGAGAAGCUCACGAGGAUGAUCCAAAUCAUCAGUGUAUCCAUUGCUGGCCACAAACAACUCCAAAGUGUACUCAUACACGAGACCAUAACGAUACAUAAACUAUCACAUACGCCAAGUCAAAAGGUGUUGUGAUCGCAUCCAAACACCACAACAAAAUAUUAUGCCAGAGUUCAGAAAUGCUUGCCUUCAAGAGUAUGCAAAGGAUGCACUUAUUGGAAGCUUUCCUUUUCCUCCAUAAAUCCUAUUUUGCAAAAUACACAAAUACAAAUAUUUCAAACACAGUACCAAAAGUUGUCUCAAAUAUUUUUGAACUAAAUCUUAAAAUAAACUAGAUGAAAUUUGAGAGAGGUAGGAAAAAGAAUCAACUCAUUUGGAGUUUUAUUUUAAAAGUUAUAGCCAGUCAAAGUUUGGUCAAACUCUGUUUUUAUAAAAAUCAGAAAAAGGAAAACGCUUCGAGGGAAAUACGCUUACGCAGCAGAGAAACGCACGCGGGGUUUUGCGCCACCACUUAACCAGAGAGGGUGGACGCGCGGGCCACUGACAGUGGGUCCAGAGGGCCCACUGGUCAGGUUUGACCGUUUCUUCCCUCCUUCUCCUCUCUUCUACCCGACGGGAGUGGGGCUCCGGCGAUCGCCGUCGACGAACGGCAGCGCCUCACGGGCAUCCAAUGGCGGGGAUGGAACGGCUAGACUGAGGCGGUCCUUAGGGUGGCUGAUGGGUCGUCGGAGGUGGAGGGAAUCGCCGGCGGCGAGCUCCGCGGCGGAGAAAAGCUACGGUGGUGAAGUGACUUUGGUGCUCCGGUGGUCUCCGACCGGAGUUGGGUAGCUGGGCAGCUGCGCAAGACUACGGGGAAGUUCUUGGUGGCGCUGGAUUGGCGAAAGGGUGGCCGGCUGCGACGAAUCGCACCGGAGCUUGGCGGCGGCCGAGCUGGCCGGAGUUGGGGAGGACGGUCCUCUCCGGUCAAUCUACUGCUAGGGGAGCUCUACGGGGAGGGCCUGAUGUCGCCUGAGUGCUCGGAGGGGCUCGGGGUUCCCUUUAUAUAGACGCUCGAGGUUGGGCCGUGGCGGCAGGAGAUAGGAUCGCCGGCGACAGCCGUUGCUGUAGCUGCAGGGCAUCGUGGCGGCGACGAACGCGUUCCGACGAGCGGGAGGAUAAGCACGGCCUGUGCUCUGAGGCAGCUGGUGUGCGCUGGUGGUUUGGGCGGCGCCGUCCGUGGCGGAAUCCGCUGCCGACGCGGCGUGCUGCCAAGGCGGCGCUGCAGGGUGCUAGGGCGAGCUUGGAGGGUACUGGAGAGAGGGCGAGUGCGUGGCGGGGUUCGGCAGGUGGGCAGGGGUCAGAGAUGGGACGCGACGAGGGCGGCAGUGCGGCGUGUCGGCGCAGUGUGCGCGUGCAAAACGUGCGCUCUGGGCGCGCCCAGAGCACGCACGGUACCUGCUCGACGAAAUGCCAGCGCGCUCUAGAGCUCGAGGGUGGAGCUGGCACUGCACAGGAUGGAAGUAGGGGUAGCAAAGCACUCAGUGGACAAGGUGGAUAGGUCAGGGGUUCCAGUCCACAAUGCAAACCAGAGAGCUUGCCAAAAAUGACUGUGCACACUAGGUGUUCGACAGAAAGCCAAGUGCACUUAGGCAACUCUUGGAGUGGCCAAAAAUCUCCAGAUCAGUGUCUCCUUAGAUGCAGGAGAUGGUGGUAAGGUUAGUUUGGCAAAGACAGAAAGUUGAUAGUGCAAGUUUUGCAAAACUCCAGUUUUGGGCAGAAAGAAAAAAGGUUUAGAACAUGCACUUCAAAACCUCCAAUGAGCCCAAUCUCCUGGACUUAAGAGUUUGGUAGGGAGGGCUACAAGUAGGAAAAAGCUCAGGGUUACUAGAGCAAAGAAAAACAAGGUUGCAGUACAAAUCACCAAUUGGGUCAGAAUGCAAAAGAGGUUGAUCCACUCAAAUUUUUCAAAGAACAUCACUUGGUUUUUGCUUGAAGAUGAAUGGUAUGCCUCUACUGACAUCUCCAAACACUUGGAAGAAUUUUUAUAGAAAUAUUUAGAUGGGUUGUAGUGCAAAAGUGCCUACUGGACUAGAUUGGAAAAGUUGGUGUAGAGCUCAAAAUCUCCAAUGGCCUAAAGGUAUUUUUGCAUAAAAGUGAUUUGGAACCAUCACAUGACACCCCUAAAUUUUGGUGGAAUUUUUGAAUGCAUUUGUAAAAUGGUUGUAGUGCAAAACAGGCUCCAAAUGCAAAAGGAAUCAUUUUAAGGAAAUAAAGCUUUGAGGAAAAUAAAUCUUGCAACAUUUGAAUCCACUGAUAAAUAAUUGUUUUAUUUUGGAGAUCAAACAAGCCCAACAAUACCUUUGAAGGUUUUCCCCACUUGAAGCAAAAAUCCAAAAAUCACAAAAGGUAAAACUUGACAAAAAUGGAAAAGUUUUAUUUCCUGGCAACAUUUUAAUAAAUAAAACAAAGUCAAAAUUUUGGGUGUUACACGGAUCCUCAUCCGGUACGGUGGAUGACGGACAUUGAGGUGUUGCUGUGG
rnacentral:lncRNA from 1 species